AACGAACGCUGGCGGCAUGCCUAACACAUGCCAGUCGAACGAGACCUUCGGGUCUAGUGGCGCACGGGUGCGUAACGCGUGGGAACCUGCCCUUAGGUUCGGAAUAACUCCCCGAAAGGGGUGCUAAUACCGGAUAAUGUCUUCGGACCAAAGAUUUAUCGCCUUUGGAUGGGCCCGCGUUGGAUUAGUUAGUUGGUAGGGUAAAAGCCUACCAAGGCGACGAUCCAUAGCUGGUCUGAGAGGAUGAUCAGCCACACUGGGACUGAGACACGGCCCAGACUCCUACGGGAGGCAGCAGUGGGGAAUAUUGGACAAUGGGCGAAAGCCUGAUCCAGCAAUGCCGCGUGAGUGAUGAAGGCCUUAGGGUUGUAAAGCUCUUUUACCCGGGAUGAUAAUGACAGUACCGGGAGAAUAAGCUCCGGCUAACUCCGUG
rnacentral:rRNA from 1 species